CUCACGCUACGAAUUGCAAGUCCACCUACUCCCCCCUCAAGCUUAUAGGACAAAAGGAACCACCACUGGGUUAUUUCCUAACCGCCUUAUACCAAGAUCAAGAGAGUUUAAAAUCAAAUCUAUUUUUCCAUUUUUUUCAUUUUUUUUUUUCAUUUACGAGCGUAGACGUUGCUUUCCCUAAUCCUAGAGGUAUUCCGGCUGUAGAGUCGCUAUCCCCAACCACAGAUUACAUAGGCCUCGGUACUUUUUAUUUAUUUUGCAAGGUCGAUUUCACACAUUCUAGCGGUAUUCCGGCUGUAGAGUCGCUAUCCCCAACCACAGAUUACAUAGAAUGGCUACUUUCAUUUACUUAUAACGGCAUCCCUUAUACUAUUAUUGGCGGUUUCAAUUUCCCCACUUUCCCUAGAUGAGAACCCACUAGUAGACCGACAAUUAGGUAUAAUUAAUAUCAAAGGAACCCGAAACCGAAUCAAGCCUACCCGCGUAUCCCAAACUAGACACAAGCACGAAUAUUUUAUCUCAUAUUAUUAUUAUUUGAACCCGAUCAAAAACCCGACUUUUCUAUCAUUUUCCGUUUUUAUUUUGCAAACUUCUUAUUUCAAAAGACAUUUUUCUAUUUUUUAAUUUUUUUGGAUUUUUUUUUUUUUUUUAAAUUAUGACUCACUAACUACAAGUUCCCAUCCCCACACUUGAAUGUUGCAUUGUCCCUAAUGCAAAGAUGGAAACCGGACUCCUAA
rnacentral:lncRNA from 1 species